GGUAGGUGGCUUACUGGUUUGAGCAUUGGACUAUGACUCUGGGGACUUGGGUUCGAAUCCCUGCUCUGCUA